CACGUAGGGUGCAAGCGUUGUCCGGAAUUAUUGGGCGUAAAGGGCUCGUAGGCGGUCCGUCACGUCGGGAGUGAAAACUCGUGGCUCAACCCCGAGCCUGCUUUCGAUACGGGCGGACUAGAGGUAGGUAGGGGAGAACGGAAUUCCUGGUGUAGCGGUGGAAUGCGCAGAUAUCAGGAGGAACACCGGUGGCGAAGGCGGUUCUCUGGGCCUUACCUGACGCUGAGGAGCGAAAGCGUGGGGAGCGAACAGG
rnacentral:rRNA from 1 species